UUUUGAAAUUGCUGAAGCUCUUGAAAUUGGAAGGUAGGCAGUAGUAGUCUUUUCAGUAAUAAUGUGCUCCCAUGCCUCUCUGCUAUUCAUACAAGGAUUGGAUGAAACCUCUCUCUUUUCCCUGCUUUGCUUGUUUCAGGAUAUAAGUCAGAGUACAGCUGAAAAUGUCUACUGAACGGACUUCUUGGACAAGCCUGUCCACCAUUCAGAAAAUAGCCUUGGGCCUUGGGAUCCCAGCCAGUGCAACAAUUGCCUAUAUCCUAUACCGCAGGUAUAGGGAAAGCAGAGAAGAGCGGCUGACAUUUGUUGGGGAAGAUGACAUUGAGAUAGAGAUGCGGGUUCCCCAGGAGGCUGUGAAACUCAUCAUUGGCCGGCAAGGAGCCAAUAUUAAACAGCUGCGGAAACAGACAGGUGCUCGGAUUGAUGUGGACACAGAGGAUGUAGGCGAUGAGCGAGUGCUGCUUAUCAGUGGUUUUCCUGUUCAGGUGUGCAAGGCCAAAGCAGCAAUCCAUCAGAUCCUGACAGAGAAUACCCCAGUGUCUGAGC
rnacentral:sRNA from 1 species